CAGGGUUUCACCAUGUUGCCCAGGCUAGUCUGGAACUCCUAGCCUCAGGUGAUCCACCCACCUCGGCCUCCCAAAGUGUUGGGAUUACACAUGUGAACCACUGCGCUGGGCCUUAUUAGUUUUCUUGAACAAUUUGGGGAUGAAUAAUUACCUAGCUUUUCCUUUUUAGUUAUUUGCUAGAUGUAAAUAAGGGUUAAUGCAGGUUUUUCUCAGCAUGGCCAUCAUACAAUUUUGGGAAUCCGCUAAGAAAUGCAAUUGCAAAUUUUCAAAAAGUGAAAGGAACUUGGAUCCCUAAAUCAAUACUUGGAGGAGAGCUGCCUACUAAUCAGGAACUCCCAUUUUGGGGUUUAAGUCAUUGUUCUAUGUAGGUUUAAUUUUGUAACAGCUGGGAUUAUUGUAUUUAAUUUCUGCACCAUAGACCACUUUUCUUCUAGGGUUUUUUUUUCUUUUUUUCUUUCUCUUUGUUUUGGUCUCUAACAUUUAUGUUAAAGGAUCUACUCAAAUAUCUGGUUAUACUUGAUUGUCUGCUCGUGUUUAAAAGUGGGGGUCUAAAUAGCUGAUCUGUAGUCUCAGCAUAUGAGUGGAGCUGAUUGAACAUGAGCUUUACUUUAGGGUGCUCUGCUUGGGCCCACGUCAGUAUGUUUAAGGCUUUUCUUUUGGAUUGGUCAGAUGCCCCAAAGAAGGCUCUUUCAUCUCUGAUCUGAAGGUAAAGGUCUGACUGCCAGUGUUCUGUGUGUUGAGUGGAGAAAUUUGGCUGGAGGGUCUCAGAAUUUACGACGUACAGGAUUACAAAAUCCCCGUGUGUCUGUAUGAUACUCAUCCUUCAGUUAGGCCUGGUAUCCUCUAGAGUAGACCAGACCCCCUCUAUCUUGCCCUCUCUGUAGUAUGAACCUCUUGUUUUCACCAGAGUGGGAGGACAGUCACCCAGUGGGGUGAAGCAGAGAAGAGGAUCUAGGAUCUGUUUCCUCAGAAGCUUUCAACAAAUCCUGUUGUCUGUCCCAUUUUCAGAGGUACCUGGUGCCAGUUCCUGAGACUUGAGGAUUCUGGUUGGUUCUCAGCACAGGAGUCAGCCUGCUCUGAUUUGCUAGUGCGUCUAGAGUGUUGACAGUUGUUUCCAUGGACUUCAAAUCAACCCAACCCUGUGAGCACAGACUUUCAGCACCAGAGUCAGAUUUCCCAAAAAUGCUAUUCUUGAAGCGUAGAGCCAGACUCACAGAUCCUGUAAAGAAAACAGAUCUUUCAGCAAGUGAAACACCCAAUCUUCCAUUGCAUGGGACUCACAGAGGUUCUGAGGGAGAGAUGUGAAUAGAAGGAGUGAUCAUCACUGUGGACUCUAUUUCUUCCAUCUGUGCGUGCAAGAUUUAUAUCUGUAUGUGUUUGUUUUAAAGUUUUAUUGAGGUAUAAUUGAUACACAAUAAUCUGUACCUAUUUAAUGUAUACAAUUUGAUGAGUUUGGACAUACUUAAAUACCUGUGAAACCAUCACCACAAUCAAGGUAAUAGACAUAGCCAUCACCUCCAAAAGUUUCUUUGUGUCCCUUUGUGGUUUGUUUCUGAGAUAAGAACACUUAACAUGUGGACUCUUGACACUCUCCUUGGAUCUCUUAAUUUGAUUGCUGUUGCUGUCACCACAUUGACUUCCUAGCCCUGCUGAUCCUCCUUUAUCACUAGCUCUAGAAAAAAAAACAAACCAAACACCACUAAUUCAUUUAUUCAGUAAUUCAACAAAAAAACCAUUGAGCACUUAAUAUUUGCAGAAUACAUGGCUAGAUGCAGAG
rnacentral:lncRNA from 1 species